rnacentral:rRNA from 1 species
UACGAAGGGGGCUAGCGUUGCUCGGAAUCACUGGGCGUAAAGGGAGCGUAGGUGGGCUGGUAAGUCAGUGGUGAAAUCUCCGAGCUUAACUCGGAAACUGCCGUGGACACUAUCAAUCUUGAAUACUGUGGAGGUAAGCGGAAUAUGUCAUGUAGCGGUGAAAUGCUUAGAUAUGACAUAGAACACCGAUAGCGGAGGCAGCUUGCUACACAGUCAUUGACACUGAGGCACGAAAGCGUGGGGAUCAAACAGG